rnacentral:tRNA from 1 species
UAAUAAGAAAUGAAAUUAAUCAUUUAUGGUUUCGACCCAUAAUUUUGGUGAUAAACACCCUAUUCAGUAA